AAUAGAUACCCGGGUAAUCCACGCCGUAAACGAUGGAUGCUAGCUGUUAUGCGUAUCGACCCGUGUAGUAGCGAAGCUAACGCGUUAAGCAUCCCGCCUGGGGAGUACGAACGCAAGUUUAAAACUCAAAGGAAUUGACGGGGACCCGCACAAGCGGUGGAGCGCGUUCUUUAAUUCGAGGCUAAGCGAAGAACCUUACCAGGGCUUGACAUCCUUGGAAUUUCUCCGAAAGGAGAGAGUACUUUAUUGGACCAAGUGGCAGGUGCUGCAUGGCCGUCGUCAGCUCGUGUCGUGAGAUGUUUGGUUAAGUCCAUUAACGAGCGCAACCCUUAUGAAUAGUUGUAUUUUUCUAUUCAGACUGCCCCGGUAACGGGGAGGAAGGGGGGGAUGAUGUCAGGUCAGUAUUGCCCUUACGCCCUGGGCUAGAAACGCGCUACAAUGGCCGGUACAAUGCGCUGCCAACCCGCGAGGGGGAGCAAAUCGCAUCAAAGCCGGUCCCAGUUCGGAUAAGAGGCUGAAACUCGCCUCUUUGAAGCCGGAAUCGCUAGUAAUCGU
rnacentral:rRNA from 1 species